AUUGAACGCUGGCGGCAGGCCUAACACAUGCAAGUCGAGCGAGCGGCGGACGGGUGAGUAAUGUAUGGGGACUGCCCGAUAAAGGGGGAUAACUACUGGAAACGGUAGCUAAUACCGCAUACUAUCGGAUAACCCAUAUGGGGUUAGCUAGUAGGUGAGGUAAUGGCUCACCUAGGCUACGCUCCCUAGCUGGUCUGAGAGGAUGAUCAGCCAGACGGGGACUGAGACACGGCCCCGACCCCUACGGAGGCAGCAGUGGGGAAGAUUGCACAAGGGGCGCAAGCCUGAUGCAGCCAUGCCGAGUGUAUGAAGAAGGCCCUAGGGUUGUAAAGUACUUUCAGUCGGGAGGCGUUACCGACAGAAGAAGCACCGGCUAACUCCGUGCCAGCAGCCGCGGUAAGAC
rnacentral:rRNA from 1 species